rnacentral:rRNA from 1 species
AACCGCAUGGUUCAAUCAUAAAAGGUGGCUUUUAGCUACCACUUGCAGAUGGACCCGCGGCGCAUUAACUAGUUGGUGAGGUAACGGCUCACCAAGGCGACGAUGCGUAACCGACCUGAGAGGGUGAUCGGCCACACUGGGACUGAAACACGGCCCAGACUCCUACGGGAGGCAGCAGUAGGGAAUCUUCCGCAAUGGACGAAAGUCUGACGGAACAACGCCGCGUGAGUGAUGAAGGUUUUCGGAUCGUAAAACUCUGUUGUUAGGGAAGAACAAGUACCGUUCGAAUAGGGCGGUACCUUGACGGUACCUAACCAGAAAGCCACGGCUAACUACGUGCCAGCAGCCGCGGUAAUACGUAGGUGGCAAGCGUUGUCCGGAAUUAUUGGGCGUAAAGCGCGCGCAGGCGGUUUCUUAAGUCUGAUGUGAAAGCCCCCGGCUCAACCGGGGAGGGUCAUUGGAAACUGGGGAACUUGAGUGCAGAAGAGGAGAGUGGAAUUCCACGUGUAGCGGUGAAAUGCGUAGAGAUGUGGAGGAACACCAGUGGCGAAGGCGACUCUCUGGUCUGUAACUGACGCUGAGCGCGAAAGCGUGGGGAGCGAACAGGAUUAGAUACCCUGGUAGUCCACGCCGUAACGAUGAGUGCUAAGUGUUAGAGGGUUUCCGCCCUUUAGUGCUGCAGCAAACGCAUAGCACUCCG